CCAGCAUUUAGAGAUCCUGAGACCUCACCAUCUCUGACAACCACCAUGUUUGCUGUGAAAGCAGUUUGCCUACUCGUCACUGUUGCUAUGCUUGUUGCAAUGGUGGCUGCGGGCAAACCGAAUCAGAGAGCCUGUGUAAAAGAACUUGACAUUUGUUAUGAUGAGUAAAGAUGAAGAGAGGUCAAGCAUCCACUGAAGACUUUAACAACUAGAAAUAGUGUGUUGUCAAAUUUUAAUAAAGUAGUCAUGCAUACCUA